AUUGAACGCUGGCGGCAGGCCUAACACAUGCAAGUCGGACGGUAGCACAGGGGAGCUUGCUCCUCGGGUGACGAGUGGCGGACGGGUGAGUAAUGUCUGGGGAUCUGCCCGAUAGAGGGGGAUAACCACUGGAAACGGUGGCUAAUACCGCAUAAUGUCGCAAGACCAAAGAGGGGGACCUUCGGGCCUCUCACUAUCGGAUGAACCCAGAUGGGAUUAGCUAGUAGGCGGGGUAACGGCCCACCUAGGCGACGAUCCCUAGCUGGUCUGAGAGGAUGACCAGCCACACUGGAACUGAGACACGGGCCAGACUCCUACGGGAGGCAGCAGUGGGGAAUAUUGCACAAUGGGCGCAAGCCUGAUGCAGCCAUGCCGGGUGUAUGAAGAAGGCCUUCGGGUUGUAAAGUACUUUCAGCGGGGAGGAAGGCGAUGUGGUUACUAACCGCGUCGAUUGACGUUACCCGCAGAAGAAGCACCGGCUAACUCCGUGCCAGCAGCCGCAGUAA
rnacentral:rRNA from 1 species